AUGGAGUUGGGGCUGAGCUGGGUUUUCCUUGUUGCUAUUUUAAAAGGUGUCCAGUGUGAGGUGCAGCUGGUGGAGUCUGGGGGAGGCCUGGUACAGCCUGGGGGUCCCUAAGACUCUCCUGUGCAGCCUCUGGAUUCACUUUCAGUAGCUAUGACAUGCACUCGAUCCGCCAGGCUCCAGGGAAGGGUUUGCAGUGGAUCUCAGUUAUUAGUACAAGUGGUGGUACCAUAUACUACGCAGACUCUGUGAAGGGCCGAUUCACAAUCUCCAGAGACAACGCCAAGAACUCACUGUAUCUGCAAAUGAGCAGCCUGAGAGCCGAGGACACGGCUGUGUAUUACUGUGCGAGAGACACAGUCACCUUGAAGGAGUCUGGUCCUGCGCUGGUGAAACCCACACAGACCCUCACGCUGACCUGCACCUUCUCUGGGUUCUCACUCAGCACUUCUGGAAUGCGUGUAAGCUGGAUCCGUCAGCCCCCAGGGAAGGCCCUGGAGUGGCUUGCACUCAUUUAUUGGGAUGAUGAUAAGCGCUACAGCCCAUCGCUGAAGAGCAGGCUCACCAUCUCCAAGGACACCUCCAAAAACCAGGUGGUCCUUACAAUGACAAACAUGGACCCUGUGGACACAGCCACAUAUUACUGUGCACAGAGAGCACAGAGACACAGCCCAGGGUGCCUCCUGUACAAUAACCCAGGCUGCUUCUUAUUGGUGCUCCCUCCCUACCAAAGCAGAACAGGAAAGUGUGACUGA